rnacentral:sRNA from 1 species
AGUUCAUCGGGAGGCGGGGAUUGUAGUGCAGGAAACAAGAACUGGGCAGGGGAGGUCACUAAAUACUAAUGAAGACUGCCAGCAGAGGAACCUACAGAGGAUUUUUGUUCAAAGAGGACAGUUUGAGGAGGAGGAUGGGUUAAAAAAAAAAACAAAGCGUCCUUCAGCAGUCAGCCUGUGGUGAGCUGAAGAAGCAGCUAUCAGAAGGGCUGAAUAAAGGGAACAUGCAGCUCUGCAGCAAUAUUCUGAUAAUCUAUUGCAGUGCGGCUCACAUCACUGUCCACCACCACCUGGAGCGGCUCAUCAGAACUGAAGGGGAGUUUUCACUUACAUUAUUGAGCGUGAUUCUGUUCUACUUGAUAUUUCCUUCAUCACCUCAUGUCAUUUCUCAUGGAUUUGGAUAUGAUGGAAAGGAAGAAUGCAGAGGAGGAGAAAAGUGACAGAUCCUCCAUUUUUGUCAGGAUGCAGGCAUUUUGAAUGUAAUCAUCUUUGCUGAAUGUCAUUUUUUGAUAACAUUUUGUUUAUGUUACUUAAACAUCAUUGGAUAAAUUUGAACUCCAUGGGAUUUUAUCUGUGGAUUCAGCUUCUGUUGGACAACUAGCCUCAUCUCCAGUAUCCUGCUGGUUCAGUCUAAUUGGUCAUUCCUAAUGCAUUAGAUUAUCAAAAAGUAUAAAUUCGCUGUGAGUGAGUGGUGUUGGCAGUGUUUGUAUACCGUGAUGCAUGGAGUGUUUGACGAAGAAACAAAAAACACCAAAAAUUGCGAGCCUUUACCCUCCUCUAUUUCUUUAAUCUGUUGUUUGAAGAACCGCAUUUUGAGGGUGUAACCAGUAGUUACCUCUGGGCCAGGUUGGAAAUGAAAUCAAUUUUUUAAACCACUAAUACUUGCCAAGAAAUCGCCUUAUGAGAACAUG